rnacentral:tRNA from 1 species
GCGUCAGUAGCUCAGCGGUAGAGCACUCGGUUUACACCCGAGCGGUCGGCGGUUCGAACCCGUCCUGACGCACCA